rnacentral:tRNA from 1 species
GAAGGUGUAGCUCAGUGGUAGAGCACUUGCCUAGCACACAUACCUGAGGCUGCUCUGGGUUCAACCCCCAGUACUGCCA